GACGAACGCUGGCGGCGUGCUUAACACAUGCAAGUCGAGCGGUAAGGCCCCUUCGGGGGUACACGAGCGGCGAACGGGUGAGUAACACGUGGGUAACCUGCCCUCCACAUUGGGAUAACCCCGGGAAACCGGGGCUAAUACCGAAUACCCACCACUACGGGGCAUCCCGGGUGAUGGAAAGCUCCGGCGGUGGAGGAUGGACUCGCGGCCUAUCAGCUUGUUGGUGAAGUAACGGCUCACCAAGGCGACGACGGGUAGCCGGCCUGAGAGGGUGACCGGCCACACUGGGACUGAGACACGGCCCAGACUCCUACGGGAGGCAGCAGUGGGGAAUAUUGGACAAUGGGCGAAAGCCUGAUCCAGCAACGCCGCGUGAGGGAUGACGGCCUU
rnacentral:rRNA from 1 species